GAGUUUGAUCCUGGCUCAGGAUGAACGCUAGCGGCAGGCCUAACACAUGCAAGUCGAACGGUAACAUAAGAGCUUGCUCUUGAUGACGAGUGGCGCACGGGUGAGUAACGCGUAUGCAAUCUACCUACAACUGAGGGAUAGCCCAGAGAAAUUUGGAUUAAUACCUCAUAAUAAUAUUUUUUGGCAUCAUUAAAUAUUUAAHACUCCGGUGGUUAUAGAUGAGCAUGCGUUCUAUUAGUUUGUUGGUGAGGUAAAAGCUCACCAAGACUACGAUAGAUAGGGGGCCUGAAAGGUGAUCCCCCACACUGGUACUGAGACACGGACCAGACUCCUACGGGAGGCAGCAGUGAGGAAUAUUGCACAAUGGAGGAAACUCUGAUGCAGCCAUGCCGCGUGCAGGAUGACGGCCCUAUGGGUUGUAAACUGCUUUUUUACAAGAAGAAACCUUGGUACGCGUACCAACUUGACGGUAUUGUAAGAAUAAGCACCGGCUAACUCCGUGCCAGCAGCCGCGGUAAUACGGAGGGUGCAAGCGUUAUCCGGAUUUAUUAGGUUUAAAGGGUUCGCAGGCGGAAUUUUAAGUCAGUGGUGAAAGCCUAUAGCUCAACUAUGGAACUGCCAUUGAUACUGAAAUUCUUGAGUAUAGAUGAAGUGGGCGGAAUAUGUCAUGUAGCGGUGAAAUGCAUAGAUAUGACAUGGAACACCAAUUGCGAAGGCAGCUCACUAAACUAUUACUGACGCUCAUGAACGAAAGCAUGGGGAGCGAACAGGAUUAGAUACCCUGGUAGUCCAUGCUGUAAACUAUGAUCACUAGAUGUUGGCGAUAUAUUGUCAGUGUUUUAGAGAAUCGUUAGUGAUCCACCUGGGGAGUACGUCGCAAGAUGGAACUCAAAGGAUUGACGGGGGCCCGCCAACCGGUGAGCAUGU
rnacentral:rRNA from 1 species